rnacentral:rRNA from 1 species
UACGUAGGUGGCUAGCGUUGUCCGGAUUUACUGGGCGUAAAGCGCGCGCAGGCGGUCGUUCAAGUCGAGUGUGAAAGCCCCCGGCUCAACUGGGGAGGGUCACUCGAUACUGAUCGACUUGAAGGCAGAAGAGGGAAGCGGAAUUCCCGCUGUAGUGGUGAAAUGCGUAGAUAUCGGGAGGAACACCAGUGGCGAAGGCGGCUUUCUGGUCUGUUCUUGACGCUGAGGCGCGAAAGCUAGGGUAGCAAACGGG